rnacentral:rRNA from 1 species
AACGAACGCUGGCGGCAUGCCUAACACAUGCAAGUCGAACGAGACCUUCGGGUCUGGUGGCGCACGGGUGCGUAACGCGUGGGAAUCUACCCUUGGGUUCGGAAUAACAGUUAGAAAUGACUGCUAAUACCGGAUGAUGACGUAAGUCCAAAGAUUUAUCGCCCAAGGAUGAGCCCGCGUAAGAUUAGCUUGCUGGUGGGGUAAUGGCCCACCAAGCCGACGAUCCUUAGCUGGUCUGAGAGGAUGAUCAGCCACACUGGGACUGAGACACGGCCCAGACUCCUACGGGAGGCAGCAGUGGGGAAUAUUGGACAAUGGGCGAAAGCCUGAUCCAGCAAUGCCGCGUGAGUGAUGAAGGCCUUAGGGUUGUAAAGCUCUUUUACCAGGGAUGAUAAUGACAGUACCUGGAGAAUAAGCUCCGGCUAACUCCGUGCCAGCCGCCGCGGUAA